UAGCGAUCACGACUAUGAACUCUCUGUAUGGAACUUCUUCGCAAGUGACUGUGUUCUAAAUUUUCUUUAAUGUACUUUGGACGGAUCACGACAUAUUUCAGAUUUUCAAUCUCUUCCCUGGUGUCUUACGAAAAAAAUGCACUAUCGACACGUUCCGUUCUUCAUCGUCACGUGACAAAAUUGCUGGUCGGAAAUUACUGACCAACUAGCUGGUGAUAAUACGACAAACGAGCACGUUUGCAAACGUUGGGCGUGUUAACUCUCCGAUUGGAUCAUUACCGCUUCGAAGCCCAAAGCGGGAGAGACAUUUCGACGCUUCCAGAGAUUUUCACGCUCCACCAGGGAACGCAGACCGUUUAAUCAAAUUGAACGACGUUUCGUGGGAGACUAUGUAACACGUGGGAAAUAUUCAGUGAGCUCUAAUUUCGAGGAAUCAAAUGAUGUUUCAAUUUAAAAUUCAUCCCUUGAAAACGUACCCUGAUAAACGAAACAUUCCAUGAACAAAUAGAAUUAACACGUAACUUCUCGGAUAGAAUACUCGUUUUCUAUCCUGCUGCCUGUUCCUGACAAUUCACCAGCAGAUUUCGUUACGACCGAAUGACGAGGGAAAUAUAGCAACGAUUGGUGAACCGGUAAUAAUAUUUCAGUCCAUAUUCACGAUCGAUUCCAUCCUCGAAAACUCAUUUUCAACCCUCCAUUAAUGGGAUGGAGUAACAGAAAUAACUUUUUAAAAUUUAUGCAGAAAAGAGUUGAAUGUUGAAACCCACAGAUGUACGACACACCUUGGGAAAAUUAUAAUUUAAUUUUUACUAUAAACAAAACAAGAGAAAUUUAUAAAAUGUAUAACAUCCUCGCAUAUCUGUGUUGCCCUAUUUUUUAAAUCGAGAAUCGCACACAAAUUAUGGUACGUUCAAGAAUAUCCUUUAAAAGUCCUCGACACGAAACUGCAAAUGAAUAUCGAGGACUUUAGGUAUCAAACAUUCAACAGAGAAACAAGUACGAAGAAAAAUCGUCUCAUAGCUUUGGCUUUACGUGAGUGCACUUUAAAGGAGGUCGCUCUACCAUGAUAUAUUUUCGCCACAGCAGUCGUCGUUGCACGUAUAAGGAAAUAACUUGGUGCUUUUACGCAAUAGGCAAACACAUGA